UCAGGGGUGUUCUGAUUCAGAUUCUGUGAUUCCUGGGUUAACAAAGGAACAAUACCCACAGCUCAUGGUGCUGCUCCAACAGACACAAGUCUCAGAAUCUCAACACCAAUCAAGUCUUAUGGCAUCUGCAAACUUUGCUAGUACACUUUCCUCUUAUCUCAGUCCUCUAAGAAAUGUGUCUUAUGGAGCUUGCAUGUUAACUAGAGUUAGUGCAUGCAUUUGGAUUAUAGAUUCUGGUGCCACUGACCACAUGACUUCAAAUAAAACUCUUCUGUUUGACAUUAAACCAUUAGUUAUACCAUAUUUAGUUACCUUACCUAAUGGUUACAAAUUUAAGGUAACAUGUACUGGAUCCAUUAAAUUUCUUUGCUUCACCUUACAUCAUGUCCUCUAUAUUCCCAGCUUUCAUUACAAUCUCAUUUCUGUCUCCAAACUUGUUCAACAGCUGAAUUUACAUCAUGUCCUCUAUAUUCCCAUCUUUCAUUACAAUCUCAUUUCUGUCUCCAAACUUGUUCAUCAGCUGAAUUCUAUUGUCCUAUUCACUAAAUUUUCUUGCUUGAUACAGGCCCCUUCUCUGAAGAGGCCACUGGAAAUUGGUAAGCUGGAUGAUGGUCUUUACAGGCUUGUGCAAUCUUCCCUUUCUGCUCCUUCUCAAUCCUAUACUCCUUGUAAUUACCAUUCUCCAUUAGCUGUUGAUUCUGUUUCUUCCUCUCAUUAUACAUACCAUUCUGAAUUGAAUAAAAUGGAGAUAUUAUGGCAUAAUAGAUUAGGGCACAUUCCUUUGUUAGAAUGAAAGACAUUUCUUCUAUUCCAUGUAAAUUUGAAAAUAAACAGCCUUUUAUAUGUACUGUUUGCCCAUUAGCAAGACAGUCUAGAUUGCCCUUUCCUGAAAGUUCUAUAAAAACAACACAUCCUUUUCAGCUCAUCCAUAUAGAUACAUGGGGUCCUUAUGCCACUGCCACCCAUAAUGGGUGCAAAUAUUUUUUAACACUAGAUGAUGAUUUUACAAGAGCUACUUGGACUCACCUUAUGGGGUCCAAAAGCAAUGCCUCGGGUGCAAAUAUUUUUUAACAAUAGUUGAUGAUUUUACAAGAGCUACUUGGACUCACCUUAUGGGGCCCAAAAGCAAUGCCUUUCCCAUUAUCAAGGCAUUCAUUGCCAUGAUCAAAACUCAGUUUCAGACUGUUGUCCAAACCAUGAGGAGUGAUAAUGCUCUUGAACUUGGAAAUAGUAAUGCUGGAAUCAAUUUUUUUGCUGAGAAUGGUAUCCUUCACCAAACAUCUUGCUCUCAUACACCACAACAAAAUGGUGUAGUUGAGAGAAAAGAUAGACAUCUUCUGGAAACAUCCAGAGCAUUACUUUUCAGUCCCAACUUCCUCUUAAAUUCUGGGGAGAUAGUGUCCUUACUGCCACCUAUCUCACCAAUAGAUUUCCUUCCAAACUACUUAACAAUGCAUCUCCUUAUGAGUUACUUUUUGGACUGAGUCCUUCUUAUAACCAUCUUAAGACUUUUGGCUGUCUUUGCUUUGCUUCUGUACCCAAACAGCAUAGAGACAAAUUUCAUCCAAGAGCUGAUCCUUGUGUUUUCCUAGGAUAUCCACUGGGUAAGAAGGGAUACAAACUGUAUAACUUGAAAACCAAACUCACAAUCAUAUCCAGGGAUGUUACUUUCCAUGAGGAUGUUUUUCCUUUUGCCUCUUCAAGAAGUACCUCCUUUGUUCCCU
rnacentral:lncRNA from 1 species